AGGAUUUGCCCUUUACUACGCAGGGCAUAGUUCCGGACAUCAUAGUGAAUCCUCAUGCCAUACCUUCGCGAAUGACGAUUGGGUACUUAAUGGAAACUUUUUCUGGAAAGGCGGCGUGCGCGUUGGGGCUACCUUUCGGAGAUGCCACCCCCUUCACCAAAGUGGAAACCAUGCGGUCAUGCAUCGCAGACCUAAAGGCCCCCAAGUAUCACCACAUGGGAACGGAGUCCUCUACAACUGUUUUACGGGAGCCAAGUUAAAUUCUCCUGUUUAUUGGCUGCACGUAUUACAUCCGGCUGAAGCACCUAUUGGAAGACAAGAUGUUUUCGAGAGCCAGAGGAUCGAUGGUUCUGCUGACCCGUCAACCGCACGAAGGACGUGCAAGGGGUGGAGGUUCACAAUCAGGAGAAAUGGAGAGGGACUGUUUAAUAAGCCACGGAGCGGCAUUAAAUUUUACGAGAACAGUUAUUUGAAGUAUCGGACGCGUAUCGGGUGCACUUGUCUGUCUGUCGAUCUGUCCAGCGCUUGAUUGAGAUAAUAAUAAUAGUUUUAUUCAAAAGAGCAAUGUCUAAUAAUUAUUGUCUCUAGUUAUAUUAACCAGUUUGUGUAAAAAGAUUUCAGUUUUUUCUGAAUUAUUGUAUAAGAACGGGCGGAGUUGAAUGAUGUCCUGGAAACAAAAUUGUAAU